UGAGAAGUAUAAAAGAGGAGAGUGCUUAAUCACGGCGUAGCUAGUCAUUUUCAUUGGGUUUUAGGGGACAGACCUCUCUCCUCUCAACUUCCGGUGAUGUAGUUCUUAGGCUUUAGUUGCUGUCUUCCACAGCGUCUCAAUUUCCCCAAUUACUUGGAUAAACCCUGGUUGUACAUCAUGCAGAGAAAAUUGGGACGCAGACUUUGGGUUUCUGAAUCUGUAUUUGCUGCAUCUUCAUUUUGUCCCUAAUGACAAAUUAAAAGGGGAUAUCUAUCAAUAUGGAAUAAGAAAUAUGGAAUCUGGUCUUUCAAAGAAAUCCUAUACCAGAGAUAAGUAUUAGGGAGCAGAACACCAUUUAUCGUCCCAGAUUUUACGAUGCGAUUCAACCAAUUCUUUAAGAAAUCUUUCAAAAUUAACCCUAAUCUGAUUAAUUGUAACCUGCACAUAAACAAAUCUACACAAACACACACAACACACGUUACACAAAGUUGAUUACACACAAACACAACAUUUGUCACAUUCUCCACAAACAUAAACACAAUUCACCACCCAGUCACACUUAUUUGCACAUCUCAGCAAAACACACGCAGCCAUUAUUUAUAUUAAAUUACACUAAAACGUAU